GUAUAGGUGUGAUCAUCCCUGCCUUAAAAUCACGUGGAGUCCUAUGGUCUAUACAAGAUAAGGGAGCUUCUGGUUGGCUGAUAGGCUGAUCGUGUUUAGUUGCUCCUAAUGAGUCAGAGAGUUAUUGCAGAGGAUAAUGGAUUCCAUGCUUACCUCAGUGGACUUUCUUAGUUAGACACCCGCCCACAUGCUGUAUGAUGGUAGAGACUAAAAUGAAAGGAGAGCAGUUGUGGAUGAGAAUCAACUUAAAGACAAGAGAAACAUUACUCACAGAUGGUCUACAGUGUUUCUAAUGCUAUGAUCAUUGCUGCCAUUCAUCCACUGGAACACUGUAGAAUGUUUAGCUAUAACACUCCAGAUGGUACUUCUCUCCUACAAACCCUGUCCCUGUCUUCAUUUUAUAAGAUCUCAGUCUCCUGAUUUAAUGAAACUCUGUGUCUCCACUAAAACCCACCACAUCAUUGCUGUCGAUUUAGGUAUUUAUUUUACCAUGUUCUACUCGCAUUAUUCUAAAAUUUUCAUCAAAAGUCGACCAAGAGGGUCCCACCCACCCAGCAGCUCCAGGACCCGCCCAUCAGCCAAGAGGAGGAGCUAGAGAGAGGGAGGUACAGUGGACUGACAAGACGAGAAAAAGGAGCAAAAUACAUCGGACCUUUUGUCGCCCAUUUUUCUGUUGCUAAGCAAUGCAAUAGAAUAAUGAGGAACAUUGAUAUGAUGAAUCUUAACGAGGGGUGUGGCCUCACACUGGGCAGAGUUACUAAGCUACCGAAAGACCACAACAAACCAGUCAAACCGGUUUCAGAUGACAAGUGGUAUAUACCUAAUGCGUGGCUUGGUAAAGGAGUGGGCAGAGAUUGGGAGGAGUCUAGUAAUGUUUGUAUUACUAGUAUGAGAAAAACUAAACCACUGAAUAUAAAACAGGACGACAUGUCUUCAAGCCCCACCCACUUCGGCACUAGUUACCCCAUACAGUGUAUACUCCCUCCAGCUGAAGAUCAUGUGAUCAGUGACUCCGCCCUAUUGUACCCUCACUAUAAUAACGGAUU